CAAGGGCGGACUCCUGUUCCGUCUCUGACUUGCUGCUCUCUUUGCAGGAGGACGUGACUAUCUACCUUCAGGCACUUAUAACGAAUUCUAUUACCCCGUAGGCUAUAAUGGAAGAGAGUGGAACGAGGCUCCUUGAGUCUGUAAAACCGAAGGAGCUCUUGGUGAAGCUUUGUGGAGACGGCUGAACAGAAUCACACUGGAGAUGGGCUCAGCCGCUACCUGAGGGGACACUGAGGGGAGAUGAUGUCAUUCUCUGUGCACUGAGUGAUGCUCUUACCUCAAGUGAGCAGUUGGAACUGCAGCCAUGACUGGAUGGUGUUAAAAGUGGGAUGACUGAAGACACACUGCUCUUCUAACUCCCCUGCACACUGACAGAAGCCAGCCUCAGUUUCACAGCUGUUGUGACUGCGGCAAGCCUAGCUGGAUGACUGAGGAUACGAUGAAUUGCCCAGGUGCUGCAACUUGAGUUGGGACUGCUGCAAGCUUCACCAAAGUUCUUAGAUGGGUCAAGUGAUCCAGGAAAUGAAAGUAUUUGUAACUUGGAGGCAGGAUAUUUUCCAUCAUUGUCAUUCAUUUCAAUGUCAGCCUCUGAAAACGGGCUCUUUUAAUAUGUUGAAGUAUCCUGUGCUUUCAAGAGUUGGUUUUCUGUAACUUUUUCUCCUUUUGGUUGUAAGCUUUCCCCACCUGUUAAAAUGUCUAACCCUCAUGCAAAUGUAUUUAUGAAAAAUACAAAUAAAUGGUUGGCAACACAA